UGAAGUUGCCCCAGAGGUUUAUUCUCGUGCACAGACUUCAAAUCAGCCGACACCCGUUAACGCUGAACAUCACCGACGGCCGGAGUCGCCACAGAUACAGAAGCAGCUGCAGAGCCGGAGUAUCCACCGUCCCACUGAGCAUCCAGAGCAUCACAACGCAAAGAGAAAUACAAGAUGGCUGCUCGAUUUGAAUACCCUGAAGAAGUUACUAGUGAUGCAAACAA